GACGAACGCUGGCGGCGUGCUUAACACAUGCAAGUCGAACGGAAAGGCCCUGCUUUUGUGGGGUGGUCGAGUGGCGAACGGGUGAGUAACACGUGAGUACCCUGUCCUUGACUUUGGGAUAACUUCAUGCAACUGGGGGUCAUAGCGGCUAGGAGCUACUGCUGCUUGGUGGGGGUUGGUAAGUUUCGGCUGUUGGGGGUGGAAUCGCGGCUUAUCAGCUUGUUGGUGGGGUAGUGGCUUACCAAGGUUUUGACGGGUAGCCUGCCUGGGAGGGGGACCGGCUACAUUGCGACUGAAAUACGACCCAGACCCCAACGGGAGGCAACAGUGGGGAAGAUAGCACAAUGGGCGGAAGGCAGAUGCAGCCACGCCGCGUGCGGGAAGACAGCCUGCGGGUUGUAAACCACUGUCGCCUGUGACGAAGCGUUAGUGACAGUAACGGGUAAAGAAGCACCGGCUAACUACGUG
rnacentral:rRNA from 1 species